rnacentral:rRNA from 1 species
ACGGGUGAGUAACACGUGGUCAACCUUCCCUAGUGUGGGGGAUAACUAGCCGAAAGGUUAGCUAAUACCGCAUAACAUCUACGAGCGGCAUCGCUUGUAGAUCAAAGGAGCAAUCCGCACAAGGACGGGACCGCGUCCCAUUAGUUAGUUGGUGGGGUAACGGCCUACCAAGACUCCGAUGGGUAGCUGGUUUGAGAGAGCGACCAGCCACACUGGGACUGAGAAACGGCCCAG